UACAGAGGUGGCAAGCGUUGUUCGGAAUUACUGGGCGUAAAGGGCGCGUAGGCGGUUCGUUAAGUCCUGUGUGAAAUCCCCCGGCUCAACUGGGGAACUGCACAGGAAACUAGCGGGCUUGAGUUCGGGAGAGGGAAGCGGAAUUCCGGGUGUAGCGGUGAAAUGCGUAGAUAUCGGAAGGAACACCAGUGGCGAAAGCGGCUUCCUGGUCCAGCACCGACGUUCAGGCACGAAAGCGUGGGGAGCGAACAGG
rnacentral:rRNA from 1 species